GGAAAGGGGCCCCCGCGGUCCAGCGGCCGCCUCGCCCCCCACCCCCGGUCCGCGUGCGACGCUCCCCGGCCCGCAGGCGCCGCGGGGGCAGGGACUGGGCGCGGAGCGAGGUUGGGAGGGACCUGGAAAAACCACCCAGAUUGCAUUGCAGUGGGCGAGGCCGCCCGGAGGAGCCGGUUCCCCAGAGCCGCCUCCCCGCGGGGCGUUCGCGGAGCGCGGUUCCCAGGUGCUUGGAUUUGCCUGGGCCGGGAGGUUCCGCCUGGAGGGGACGCGGGGCUCGGUUGCGUGGUGGCCCACGCCCGGCGGAUCAAGCGCUCGCGACGACUGCGAGGAGGGCCAACGCCCGGCGGCCGACGGUGGCUGAGAAAGUGGUUACAGCCGCUCGGGAAGUCCUUCGCCGCCAGUCCUCUGUGGCCUCUGCUCUUGUUUCCUAGCGAGGGCAGAGUUCAUUACUGAGAAGGCAAAAUUCUGAAAAUGGGAGUCUACAGAGAACAGCUCUUGAACUGGACAAAAUUCAGAUGUCUCUACCAUGGCCUGACCAUUGACACAGUGAUGUGGUUGUCAAAGAGAUCACAUUUACUACUUCCUGGACAAAUCCAACCUCUCUGAAGUGCAUCUCACAGGUACAUGUUUCUGUGCCACAAAGGAAACAACACUUCUACAAGGCUGCAGCGAUGCUCCAUGUCCCCAUCCAACAGAACUUGCUGAAAUUUCCAGCCAGGCUGACAUUCCAUCCGGUGCGCACUCCAAGUAAAGCUGGUUAAAGAUCAUUGUGC